GAGAGUUCAAAGUUCAAACUUCAAACCAUGGGCUAAUUCUCACCGGGAUUAAUGGCAGAGAGCGAUGUGGAUGAGAAUCAUGAGAUUACCUCAACUAAAAGUAAAAGGCCAUGGAGGAUUAGGAAUCGAGGAGGGAGGGCGCAUCUUCAGGACUGAGAUAAGGGUUUCCCGCAUAUCCAUUGUUGCAAGUGCAACGAUAUCCGGGAUUGUUGUCAGAAUUGAUGCAGUAACUAUUUUCUUGGCAUGCAAAAUUGAUCGUAUCUUUUUUUGCAUCUUCACAAGUCUUGUUCCCGAUGGCCCAAUCAAGCAAAAUAGUUGAACCUUGACUUGGAGAGGCCCCUUGAUCAGACAUAUAUGUAAACAAUAUCACAUUAUUCUUAGUAUCUGUUUACGCCUACUACUGCUAUUUUUUUCUAUUGUGUUAUUCUUUGUAGAUAUAUAUGCACAGUAGCAUCAUAUUUUUUAUGUUAAGACACAAGCAAUGCCCCCACCCUUUCAGCCUAAACACGGAAAUGGCUUGCUUUGACUUCCAUUUUCGCAUUAUACCUUAAUUAAAUGGUUGGUUUAGUUAGCUGC